UACGUAGGCAGCGAGCGUUGUUCGGAAUUACUGGGCGUAAAGAGUGUGUAGGCGGUGUUCCCAGUCUGUUGUGAAAUCUCCCGGCUUAACUGGGAGGGUGCAGCGGAAACUAGAAUGCUAGAGGGUGGGAGAGGUAAGGCGGAAUUCCUGGUGUAGCGGUGAAAUGCGUAGAUAUCAGGAGGAACACCUGUGGUGUAGACAGCUUACUGGACCACUUCUGACGCUGAGACACGAAAGCGUGGGUAGCAAACAGG
rnacentral:rRNA from 1 species